rnacentral:tRNA from 1 species
GGGCUCGUAGCUCAGCUGGGAGAGCACCACAAUGGCAUUGUGGGGGUCGUCGGUUCGAUCCCGAUCGAGUCCACCA